CAGCAGCCACGUUAAUACGAAGGGGGCUAGCGUUGUUCGGAAUUACUGGGCGUAAAGCGCACGUAGGCGGAUAUUUAAGUCAGGGGUGAAAUCCCAGAGCUCAACUCUGGAACUGCCUUUGAUACUGGGUAUCUUGAGUUCGAGAGAGGUAAGUGGAACUGCGAGUGUAGAGGUGAAAUUCGUAGAUAUUCGCAAGAACACCAGUGGCGAAGGCGGCUUACUGGCUCGAAACUGACGCUGAGGCGCGAAAGCGUGGGGAGCAAACAGGAUUAGAUACCCCGGUAGUCCCUGUCUCUUAUAC
rnacentral:rRNA from 1 species